CAGUCGCCGCGGUAAAACGAAGGGGGCUAGCGUUGUUCGGAUUUACUGGGCGUAAAGGGUGCGUAGGCGGAUUGUUAAGUCAGGGGUGAAAUCCCGAGGCUCAACCUCGGAACUGCCUUUGAUACUGGCGAUCUUGAGUCCGGGAGAGGUGAGUGGAACUGCGAGUGUAGAGAUGAAAUUCGUAGAUAUUCGCAAGAACACCGGUGGCGAAGGCGGCUCACUGGCCCGGUACUGACGCUGAGGCACGAAAGCGUGGGGAGCAAACAGGAUUAGAUACCCGCGUAGUCCCUGUCUCUUAUAU
rnacentral:rRNA from 1 species